AAACAGCUAAAAAGAAUGCACUCAUCUGUGAAUGCAGGGGGGGCACAGGCAGAGCAAAUUUUCCCUUUGUGGGUGCUGAAGAUGUCUGGGUACUUGCUGCAAUGAGAGAGGCAGUAGAAUUCAUUGCAUGUCCCUGCUUUGUGAACACUCAAGAUUGCUGCUCUGUUUCAUUACUCAUACACUGCAUCUACGGGGAGCUCUGUGUCAUCAUUACAACCUUUGAGAAUUCACUGCUGGUCCAGUGUCAAGAAUGAACGGCGAGAGGACAAGUGAGAAUCUAAGUACUCAGUGAGACCGAGCAUUGAAGGCUGAGAAGUAAGGGGCUGGCAGUUGAUAACAAGCUGAUUUCUGAAAGCUCAACCUGGGGUGUGGAAGAGGAGCUAAAAACGAACCAGUUGUGAAGCCUCAGAUCCCUUCUGCAUCACCUCUUUAGGACUCAACUGCCCUCUUUGCAAAAGUUGGGAAUUCACAAGCAUCACAACAGACCUUUGAAGAUAGAGUGGGCAAGAGCCAGUCCCCUGAGAUUCAGCAUUUGUUCAUUUAACAAAUAUUUUCCAUCUCAUAUAUGCCACUUUAUUAACCUUGUGGAAUGGAAAGAAAACACAACCCCCAGCCCUUACUUUUGAACUUACUUUAAAAGCCUUAUGAAUUAGGGAGAAUGUUGUGAGCAUUUAAACAACUAAGGUAAAUGGUAAUGAAAAUGAUAAUACAAAAAUUGUCAUGGCUGGCAAUGGAGGUUCAAGCCUAUACUUACACAAGUGAGAGAGUCAAGAAGAUCACAACCCCAAGACCACUCUAGUCUACAUAGUAUGUUUGAGACCAGUUAGGGGUAUGCAAUGAGACCCUGUGUCAACAAAGCAAAACAAAACAAAACAAAACAAAACAAAACAAAACAAUGGAAUGAGCAGAGACAAUAUGAGAUCAAGCUCUUGAAGAAUGGGGUUUAUGAAGCCCCUUGCUGUUUAAAACCAUCACAUUCCUCAUCCCAAGGAUUAUAGAGGUGAUAAUCCUUUAACACAAGCCUGCUUAACUUGCCAAAUGGACAGCUUCACCAAAAUGGUCAAUCAGGCUCUUUCCUGGAAACUUAAAAGUAAACGACUUUGGUUUGGAUGGUUUCCUUUGUAAAAAAGAGAUGAGAACAUCUGUAACAGUCAUUUUCUACAAGGAACAAGUAAAGACUGUUAGUUUCAGAGAAGAAAAAGGAUGAGCCAAGUCAGUAUGAUGAAAUGGAGACAAGCAGAGCAGAGAAGGCACUCUAGCUCCCUAAUGGACUCUCUUCCUUGUUGGAGUCUCUCUGUUGCUCAGUUUUCUUCCUCCUUGAGGUCAUGAGACACUUAUAUCUGUAAUAGUUCACUUGGCAUCUCACAAGCCUUUAUUCCUUAAAAUUCUGGGGGUUCUGGAUCCAUGUUUGGGAUGCUUUCCUAAGCUCUACCUCCCUGGCCAUGUACAUUACUAUACAUAUGUAUAUAUGUAUAUAUAGUAUAUACACAUAUUCCUACCAAAGACUUUUGGUCCUUCUAAAUGUUCUCACUCUCUUCUUUCAGUCUCCA
rnacentral:lncRNA from 1 species